AUUUCAGAUUCUCAGCUUGUGAAUAGGUCCGCGGGCGAGACGUCAAGUUUGGUAACCCACCCGUCCGACGCUCACCCGGAGUUGACUAGCGUCUCCAGUAUGUCAGGGCCCCAUGCGCUUGCAACGAACAUGUCAAGGGUAUCUUUACGUGAAAGUGAGCAUGAAGAAAGGUCAGAGGCAGAAUGUUGAAAUAAAAGUUUGUAUAUAGGGCAGUGACGAUUAAAAAAUAAUGUGAUUCAUCAUUGAACUGCAGAGAAAUAACACUCGUGCCAUAUGACAAACCGAUUUUACAGGCAUGAACUAUUAAGAUGUUGUAUAGUCAGUGAACUUCGGUGAAAUAACAAUUGUGUCAUUUGACAUAUUGAUUAUACAAACAUGAACAUUUCAGCUGUGUAGUAUGAACAUAUUCCUGAAGGAC